UACGGAGGAUCCAAGCGUUAUCCGGAUUCAUUGGGUUUAAAGGGUGCGUAGGCGGAAUAAUAAGUCAGUGGUGAAAUCCUGCAGCUUAACUGCAGAACUGCCAUUGAUACUGUUAAUCUUGAGUAUAUUUGAUGUGGGCGGAAUGUGUCAUGUAGCGGUGAAAUGCUUAGAUAUGACACAGAACACCGAUUGCGAAGGCAGCUCACAAAACUAUAACUGACGCUGAGGCACGAAAGCGUGGGUAUCAAACAGG
rnacentral:rRNA from 1 species